UGAGCUUUAGACGAGGCUCAUGUUUAUUGAUACUGUUAUAUAGUAUGUUGUGGUUGUGCUUUUGUCAGGUUGGAGAGCUUAUCGGUGGAAGCCAGAGAGAAGAGAGGCUUGAAUAUUUUAGAAAACUGGUUGGAUGAAUUAAAGGCUGAAUAAGGAGGCAUACUGGUGGAAAGUGUACACAAAUAUAAAGGAAGAGGACAUGGCAUAUUGAAGUAAUGCUCGGGGAAGAGACGGAUAGUGGGCUCGAGAUUUGCUGUCUAUUUUGUACCUUUAUGCAGUCUGCAAAUCUAGAGGAGUUCGAAGAAGAAUUUAAGGGUAUUAACCAAGAAGAGCAGAUCUGCAGACUUCACAAAAUGCUCGCUCCUUAUCUUCUUUCAAGUAGAAA